rnacentral:antisense_RNA from 1 species
CUUGAUCGACCCCAGCAGCAGCGGGACCUCCCGGUCCUGCCCAUAGGUCGCCAGCAGCGCCUGCGCCUC